UACGUAGGGUGCGAGCGUUGUCCGGAAUUAUUGGGCGUAAAGGGCGCGUAGGCGGUCUGUCGCGUCGGGAGUGAAAACUCAGGGCUUAACCCUGAGCCUGCUUCCGAUACGGGCAGACUAGAGGUAUGCAGGGGAGAACGGAAUUCCUGGUGUAGCGGUGAAAUGCGCAGAUAUCAGGAGGAACACCGGUGGCGAAGGCGGUUCUCUGGGCAUUACCUGACGCUGAGGAGCGAAAGUGUGGGGAGCGAACAGG
rnacentral:rRNA from 1 species